GGAGAGGUACCGAAGUGGUCAUAACGGGGCCGCCUCGAAAGCGGUUUGGGGGCCAAAAGCUCUCACGCGGGUUCGAAUCCCGCCCUCUCCGCCA
rnacentral:tRNA from 1 species